rnacentral:rRNA from 1 species
ACGUACGCUGGCGGCGUGCUUAACACAUGCAAGUCGAACGGAAAGGCCCUGCUUUUGUGGGGUGCUCGAGUGGCGAACGGGUGAGUAACACGUGAGUAACCUGCCCUUGACUUUGGGAUAACUUCAGGAAACUGGGGCUAAUACCGGAUAGGAGCUCCUGCUGCAUGGUGGGGGUUGGAAAGUUUCGGCGGUUGGGGAUGGACUCGCGGCUUAUCAGCUUGUUGGUGGGGUAGUGGCUUACCAAGGCUUUGACGGGUAGCCGGCCUGAGAGGGUGACCGGCCACAUUGGGACUGAGAUACGGCCCAGACUCCUACGGGAGGCAGCAGUGGGGAAUAUUGCACAAUGGGCGGAAGCCUGAUGCAGCAACGUCGCGUGCGGGAUGACGGCCUUCGGGUUGUAAACCGCUUUCGCCUGUGACGAAGCGUGAGUGACGGUAAUGGGUAAAGAAGCACCGGCUAACUACGUG